UUUUUUUUUAAAUAUCAGGAGGUUUUGGACUGAAGCCCGUAAUCCCCUAGGUCUGAAACCACAGCAUGUAAUAUUAGUUUCGUCUCAAGCGUCACUCGAAUUUCGCCAAUUGAGCUAACAACACUUGGUGGAAUCAUACGUUUAUCUGUUUAUAUUUUCAACAAAAAUUAUCAUUCCGUAAUCUUAUGAUUUCUUUGUAAGUGCAAGUGGUCUUUGAAGUUUUUGAUUGAAUUUUGUUGGCUUUUAGUA
rnacentral:sRNA from 1 species